GACGAACGCUGGCGGCGUGCCUAAUACAUGCAAGUAGAACGCAGUUGCGAAAGGAUGAGUUACGCGUCGGUAACUGCCUGGGAGCGAGGGAUAACUAUUGUAAACGAUAGCUAAUACCGCAUACUACCAGAUGGACCUGCGUUGUAUUAGCUAGGUGGUGAGGUAACGGCCCACCAAGGCAACGAUACAUAGCCGACCUUGGGGGGGGAUCGGCCCACCUUGGACUGAGACACGGCCCAGACUCCUACGGGAGGCAGCAGGAGGGAAUCUUCGGCAAUGGGGGGAACCCUGAACGAGCAACGCCGCGGGAGUUAAGAAGGUUUUCGGAUCGUAAAGCUCUGUUGUUAAGGAAGCGGUACCUAACCAGAAAGGGACGGCUAACUACGUGCCAGCAGCCGCGGUAAUAC
rnacentral:rRNA from 1 species